rnacentral:rRNA from 1 species
CAGUCGCCACGGGAAUACGAAGGGUGCAAGCGUUAAUCGGAAUUACUGGGCGUAAAGCGCGCGUAGGUGGUUUGGUAAGAUGGAUGUGAAAUCCCCGGGCUCAACCUGGGAACUGCAUCCAUAACUGCCUGACUAGAGUACGGUAGAGGGUGGUGGAAUUUCCUGUGUAGCGGUGAAAUGCGUAGAUAUAGGAAGGAACACCAGUGGCGAAGGCGACCACCUGGACUGAUACUGACACUGAGGUGCGAAAGCGUGGGGAGCAAACAGGAUUAGAUACCCCAGUAGUCCCUGUCUCUUAUAC